rnacentral:lncRNA from 1 species
AGUAAAAUAAAAUCAAAUAGCUCCAUCUUCUUUCAUCACGGAUCCAUCACUGUUUAGGUGGUCUAUCUACCCCUCGGGUUGCUCAAAGAAGUCUACCACAUCCAAGUGGGUGAUGCCAAAGUUGUCGUCAGAGACAAAAUUCGUUUCAGGGCGUUUACUCUUUCGAGAUGCUUGAUAAAGGUCAACCAAAUGUCAUGGUA